UUUGAACGCUGGCGGCAGGCCUAACACAUGCAAGUCGAGCGGUAGAGAGGAGCUUGCUUCUCUUGAGAGCGGCGGACGGGUGAGUAAUGCCUAGGAAUCUGCCUGGUAGUGGGGGAUAACGUUCGGAAACGGACGCUAAUACCGCAUACGUCCUACGGGAGAAAGUGGGGGAUCUUCGGACCUCACGCUAUCAGAUGAGCCUAGGUCGGAUUAGCUAGUUGGUGAGGUAAAGGCUCACCAAGGCGACGAUCCGUAACUGGUCUGAGAGGAUGAUCAGUCACACUGGAACUGAGACACGGUCCAGACUCCUACGGGAGGCAGCAGUGGGGAAUAUUGGACAAUGGGCGCAAGCCUGAUCCAGCCAUGCCGCGUGUGUGAAGAAGGUCUUCGGAUUGUAAAGCACUUUAAGUUGGGAGGAAGGUCAGUAGCUUAAUACGUUGCUGAUUUGACGUUACCGACAGAAUAAGCACCGGCUAACUCUGUGCCAGCAGCCGCCGUAAGAC
rnacentral:rRNA from 1 species